UCAGAUUGAACGCUGGCGGCAUGCCUUACACAUGCAAGUCGAACGGCAGCGCGGGGCAACCUGGCGGCGAGUGGCGAACGGGUGAGUAAUAUAUCGGAACGUACCCAGAAGUGGGGGAUAACGUAGCGAAAGUUACGCUAAUACCGCAUACGAUCUACGGAUGAAAGUGGGGGACCGCAAGGCCUCAUGCUUUUGGAGCGGCCGAUAUCUGAUUAGCUAGUUGGUGAGGUAAAAGCUCACCAAGGCGACGAUCAGUAGCUGGUCUGAGAGGACGACCAGCCACACUGGAACUGAGACACGGUCCAGACUCCUACGGGAGGCAGCAGUGGGGAAUUUUGGACAAUGGGGGAAACCCUGAUCCAGCAAUGCCGCGUGUGUGAAGAAGGCCUUCGGGUUGUAAAGCACUUUUGGCGGGAACGAAACGGGUCUUUCUAAUACAAAGACCUAAUGACGGUACCCGCAGAAUAAGCACCGGCUAACUACGUGCCAGCAGCCGCGGUAAUACGUAGGGUGCAAGCGUUAAUCGGAAUUACUGGGCGUAAAGCGUGCGCAGGCGGUUAUGCAAGACAGAUGUGAAAUCCCCGGGCUUAACCUGGGCACUGCAUUUGUGACUGCAUGGCUAGAAUCUGGCAGAGGGGGGUAGAAUUCCACGUGUAGCAGUGAAAUGCGUAGAGAUGUGGAGGAACACCGAUGGCGAAGGCAGCCCCCUGGGCUAAGAUUGACGCUCAUGCACGAAAGCGUGGGGAGCAAACAGGAUUAGAUACCCUGGUAGUCCACGCCCUAAACGAUGUCUACUAGUUGUCGGGACUUAAUUGUCUUGGUAACGCAGCUAACGCGUGAAGUAGACCGCCUGGGGAGUACGGUCGCAAGAUUAAAACUCAAAGGAAUUGACGGGGACCCGCACAAGCGGUGGAUGAUGUGGAUUAAUUCGAUGCAACGCGAAAAACCUUACCUACCCUUGACAUGGCAAGAAUCCCUGAGAGAUCGGGGAGUGCUCGAAAGAGAACUUGUACACAGGUGCUGCAUGGCUGUCGUCAGCUCGUGUCGUGAGAUGUUGGGUUAAGUCCCGCAACGAGCGCAACCCUUGUCAUUAGUUGCUACGCAAGAGCACUCUAAUGAGACUGCCGGUGACAAACCGGAGGAAGGUGGGGAUGACGUCAAGUCCUCAUGGCCCUUAUGGGUAGGGCUUCACACGUCAUACAAUGGUACAUACAGAGGGCCGCCAACCCGCGAGGGGGAGCUAAUCCCAGAAAGUGUAUCGUAGUCCGGAUUGUAGUCUGCAACUCGACUACAUGAAGUUGGAAUCGCUAGUAAUCGCGGAUCAGCAUGUCGCGGUGAAUACGUUCCCGGGUCUUGUACACACCGCCCGUCACACCAUGGGAGCGGGUUUUACCAGAAGUAGGUAGCUUAACCGCAAGGAGGGCGCUUACCACGGUAGGAUUCGUGACUGGGGUGAAGUCGU
rnacentral:rRNA from 1 species